UUUUUGCUAUUUUCCAAAAACAAGAGUUUGAAGAUUUGCAAGAAAGACAAAUGACUCAAGAUCGCCAUCAUUUUUUCAAUUUUUUUUCACAAUACCCUUUCAGAACUCGAUUUCCAGCACCACUUAGAGAAACCCUGUAGAGAAAGUUCGCAUUCAAAGUCAUGGAUGACAGCGCGAUAUCAAUGAACACAGAUCUCUUGGCAAGAUACUUCACAACAUCAAAUUCACUUGUUCAAUGACUUAUGUUUUCUUUUGUGGCCCUAAAGCCCACAUCAUUGCUUCAUAGCAUCUGCAUAGACAUUCUCAAGCCUUGUCUUAGUGUAGGAUUGACUUUCUUUACACUUUAACCAUCUUGAAUUAGUCAAAGAUUGGAUUUGAACUUGAACACCCAACACUUUUGAUGGAAUGAUCGAUAACCUCCUUGUGGUAAACACAUUUUUCAUCAUGAGUCCUAAGGUAUUGAGGCUUUAAAGGCUUCAUGUAACAAGUAGAGACCAAACCCCCCUUUUUUUUUUGCGUAGAAGACUUGAAAGCAAUGUUGCAUAAGUCAUAUGUAUAGGAGUGAAGCUCGUAGGCCUUUUGUCUUGAUCAACAUUUUCCUACCUAGCAACUUGGUGGGAAAUUGAGUUUGGGUCAAGUAUCUCAUUUGUCUUGCAAUUGUUUCAAGUGAAGGGUAGGCCAACGGGAUUUGAGCGAUAGGAGGUGAUUAAACUCUUUGCUUUCUUCUCUUCGCAAGCUUAAACCCGACUUGUUCAUAUUUGCUAUCAUGGUAUGACCUUGUGUGACCGUUCCAAUCCUCACACUAACUUCAAUCCUUUCUUCAAGUAUCCUCAGGUCUACAAAGUUUGAGAAACACUGCUCACCAUGGUCUCAUAGAAGGAUGAUCAUAGAGUAUUUAGGAAUGUGUCAACCAUCUCAUUAUCACUCAUGAUAGACUUUCCUUGAGCAACAUUCUUUCCACCUUUGGGUCACUCUUUGAAUGAUUUUGACUCCUUUUUCACCCUACUAUGUAGUUGUAAUCUAUGAGAUGUCACAUUCGUGUUAUAUUCGAAAUGCUUCAAGAAAGCACCCACCAGAUCCUCCCAAGACUGUAUGCACGAAUGUUCAAGAUGAUAGCCUCAAUUUAGUGGCAUGCCAACCAAUCUACCUUGGAAGAAAUGAAUUAGCAACUUUUCAUCAUAUGCACACACAACCGUUUUCUUGUCAUACACCAUGAGAUGAGUCUUAAGGCCAAUAGUCCCUCCAUAUUUCUUACCUUUGGAAAAUUUGAACUUUUGAAUGUAUCAUCGGAUCCGGGAUUAAGCAAGCCUUGCAACAUUUUCAGACUUAAUGCUUCAUUCACCUUCUAUGGCUGUCAUCCUUUUUCAGCAUUUUAAUUUUACCCCUGUCAACUUUAACAUCCACUGGUGUGCAAUCAGGGAAAGAAAAUUUCAACUCAAAUUGUCUUGUCAUCGUCAUGCUCACAAUACUUGAUUAAAGCCUUUUCCUAGGGACCAUGAAAGUGGUUGCCCCAAGCUUGUUCUCCACUUCAACUGCGUUAUCUUUGGCCUCUCGAGUGUGAACUUGCCCCCGAGUACGCUCCUGAGGGUGAAGUGUAAUUUAGGGAAAGACCAUGUAAGGGAAAUUUUGGGUCUCUUAUACACUUUGUUGUAGUCGUGGUGCACACGAAUCUCCAGUUCCCUGUAAGACAUUCAGGGCCUCUAAGGCUUGGCUCAUUUUCCCCUUCACUUGUUGGAUAUCAACUUUCAUCCCCUCUUGAACUUCUCCUUGGUUCUCCAAGAUUUGGUAACUGGUUCGAGUCCUUUAGGGUAUCUUGAUUUUUU
rnacentral:lncRNA from 1 species